rnacentral:lncRNA from 1 species
GGGUCCAAUAUAUGUAUUAUGCCAAUUAGAUUGAGCAGCGGGUCUAGUCACAAAUAGACCAUAGACAGUAUGUCAGUCACCAGAAUGUCACUUGAGAUUAAAACUAUCUCAGAAUACUGUAUAUGUCAUAUUCCAGAUGUUAGCAUCAACAAUAAUCACUAUCUCAAUCCCAAACAUAAUUGUGAUUGACAAAUCAGUCGUACAUAUUUACUUCAAGCAUCAUCAACAAGUAGACUACAGACAACUGAUCAUUGAGACACAUUACUUUUGGACGAAAACUUUCCUGGAACAUUUAAUAUUAUAUCUAGCUGUUAGUACCAGCAAUACUAUGCCUCGUGAGAGUUUUAUUUCAUAGCAUUAUCAGCAGAUGGACUACAGACGCAUUACUUUGAAUGAAAUGGUGAUCCAGGAGGAGCCAUCAAACCAAGCGCUUGCAUUACCUUCAUCCGACGUCCGCUUGGUGCUUGUUCCCCUGCUGAAGCUACUGCCUGAAUGGAAUGUCAACAAUUGCAAAGUUGCAUAAUAAUAUUGCAAACUACUAGAAGAUUAAAUAUAGCAAUAACAUGCAGUCAUGAUUCCACGCCACUAAAGACGUGCAUUGUCCAAUUCGUCUACUCUCAUUUUCUCUGAGAUGUCAUUCAAUUUUGUUAAAAGCAGAAAGAAUAAAUUAUGAAGCAAGACUUAGCAGAAAAGUUAAACCAACAUAAUUUCUGUAUCAUAAGACAGCAAAAAAGGAUAUCAAUAUAUCAUAAUGGUAACACAACGCAAAUGGAAAACUUGAAAGGACAAGAUUUAUGAAUUAGUUGUUGCAUCUGUGUUUUUGCCCCUUCCUGUUAUCCACUUGUGGAAGACCCACGCCUUCUAUUAGAAUAGGAGGCACAACUUCAAAUCAAUAACCUUCAGAGGUAGAAGAUGUUCACUCCCAGAAGCUGGGUGAGUUUUGACUUGUUUUCUUUUUUAUUUUAGAAAAAGUUUUACUUGACUUGGAAACUAUCAUAAGAGCAGCUCCUUCCCUUGCACUUUGAUUACCUUCUUAGCGCAUCUUAUAAGAAAAUAUUACAUAGCAUUUCUGCUAUUUUUCAUUCAAAAGAGCCAUUUCUGAAGUUUAGGAAAGAAUUUUAGACUUUAAAAUCCCCAUAUACCAAAAUAUGCUACUAGAUGUUUUCUCAAGGUUCCCAUUCACAAAAAUGAGAAGAACACAAAUUUAACUGGAACUUGAACCAAGCAUUGGUAUUUAAGACAGUUCUGAGUGAGGAUGAAACUUGCAGAAGUUGAGGGUGUCAUGUCCUGACUUUUCUUGUUUCCUUUGCCUUGAGAUGCACCCGUGCUGAGUGUUUCUGCUAAAAAAGAAACACUUCUCACUAGAACAUGGGGGGAGGGAAGGAGAAAAAAGAAUGUCACUGAAGAUCAAUAUCAAUGAUAAUUGAAAAUCUUAAAGGCACCAUGGUGGACCUACUUGUUGACUCAAGAGACUCAUAAUUUCUUGUAAUCGAUGAAAUUUAGUUAAUGUUACAUAGAUGCAAUAAUAACUACAUAUGUUAUGCUCGUAUUUCAUUGAGUUUUAGUUAAGUUAUAUGCUUUAUAUGUUGCAAAAAUCAAUCGUACUAUAUGAUGGGAAGGGAGAAAUGCUUGGUUUGAUGUUUACAACAACAUAUCCAGUGUUAUCCCCACAAGUACUGAGGCCUAGGAAGGGUAGUGUCAGGUGUGUAUGGGGAUCAUACCCUACCUAUCGGAGAUCAAGAGGUGGUUUUUGAUAGACCCACGGCUCAAGAAGGAUCUAAACACUUGGUUUGAUGUUUGGGCUAUUAAAUUAUGUGUCUGAGGAGGUUGGGAUUGAAAUAAAGGUAUUUGACAAUUAAUGGACUCUCAGGAAGAAGAAAAGUUGGGAGACAACACAAGGGGUACAGAUUUUGACAAUUCAAACAAGUCUUAACUUCAAAAGCUUGCAACUCUCAGUAGAUCAACAAUUUAUCCAUCACUUUUAAAGGAAAGUUCUAACCCUUGAAAUCCAGUUUUCAACGACUUAAACAGUUUGUCAUUUGAGUUCUUCCAAAGGUGCACACUCAUGUAUUUAAACCAUUCCAAUGAGGCCCAAGACCCUCAUUUUUAAUUCCCUGCCCUUACAAAGCUUCCACACAACUCCCCAACAAGGUAAAUUUCAAAUCACCUGUUAGGAAGCGUAGGUUAUAUACCUG